rnacentral:rRNA from 1 species
AUUGAACGCUGGCGGCAGGCUUAACACAUGCAAGUCGAGCGGAGAUGAGGUGCUUGCACCUUAUCUUAGCGGCGGACGGGUGAGUAAUGCUUAGGAAUCUGCCAUUUAGUGGGGGACAACAUUCCGAAAGGAAUGCUAAUACCGCAUACGUCCUACGGGAGAAGGCAGGGGAUCUUCGGACCUUGCGCUAAAUGAUGAGCCUAAGUCGGAUUAGCUAGUUGGUGGGGUAAAGGCCUACCAAGGCGACGGUCUGUAGAGGGUCUGAGAGGAUGAUCCGCCACACUGGGACUGAGACACGGCCCAGACUCCUACGGGAGGCAGCAGUGGGGAAUAUUGGACAAUGGGCGGAAGCCUGAUCCAGCCAUGCCGCGUGUGUGAAGAAGGCCUUUUGGUUGUAAAGCACUUUAAGCGAGGAGGAGGCUACUAGUACUAAUACUACUGGAUAGUGGACGUUACUCGCAGAAUAAGCACCGGCUAACUCUGUGCCAGCCGCCGCGGUAACAC